rnacentral:rRNA from 1 species
CUACGGGACGCUCCAGUGGGGAAUAUUGCACAAUGGAGGAAACUCUGAUGCAGCAACGCCGCGUGGAGGAUGACACUUUUCGGAGCGUAAACUCCUUUUAUAUAGGAAGAAGAUGACGGUACUAUAUGAAUAAGCGCCGGCUAACUCCGUGCCAGCAGCCGCGGUAAUACGGAGGGCGCAAGCGUUACUCGGAAUCACUGGGCGUAAAGAGCGUGUAGGCGGAUUAAAAAGUCAGAAGUGAAAUCCUAUAGCUUAACUAUAGAACUGCUUCUGAAUCUCUUAAUCUAGAAUAUGGGAGAGGUAGAUGGAAUUUCUGGUGUAGGGGUAAAAUCCGUAGAGAUCAGAAGGAAUACCGAUUGCGAAGGCGAUCUACUAGAACAUUAUUGACGCUGAGACGCGAAAGCGUGGGGAGCAAACAGGAUUAGAUCCCUAGUAGUC